UUGAUAAUACUUUUAGUUAAUCACUUUGUAAAGUCUUACAAAUGUUUAAAACAAAAGGAAAAUGCAACGACGGAUUUUUCUUUUGCAACUGAAGUAAUGAAACGCAAAAAAAAAAGAAAAAUGACGUUAUGUUAUAUCAGCUGACAUACUUGAAUUCGCGCCGAAUGCAACAGUUUUAUCUUUUCAGAAUUUAUACAAUAACAACAGUAACGAAAGAAAUAUCACCGAUUUACUACCUACUAGAUCUAAAGAGUCGGAGGCUAGACAUGGAGGAGCGACUUGUUUCAGCAGUCGACAAGCUGGCUGGCUACAGCUGCUGAAGCUAAUAGCAAGGCUGCGGAUAUGCAAACAGAGUUGCUUCGGCUGCUGCUGGAGGAAGUUAGGUGAAGACCAAUAUAAGGUUAAAGAAUAGCAGCAUGACGAUUCUCAAGAACGAAGACACUAGAGAAACCUAAGUUAAAAUACUUAAGUAAAAACAUAUGUAUUCAAUAAGCUUGUAUGUAAAUAUUUAAGCUAAAGUAUAAGUACUCCAUUUAUGUUAUUUAAGUGAAGUUGUAUGAUCCUGAAACAUAUAUUUAAUUUAAAUACUUAAGUUUGGUCAUGUUAUUUAAGUGAGUUUGUCUAGGGGUAACAUUAAAGUACAUUAAAGACAAA
rnacentral:lncRNA from 1 species